rnacentral:rRNA from 1 species
UCGGUCUUUAUAGACUAGUAUGAUGGCCACAUGAGAAGAACUGUCUCUUGAAGACAGUCGGUGAAACUGAUCUACCUGUACAAAAGCAGGUAUACCAAAACAAGACAAAAAGACCCUGUGAAACUUUAAAUUUACAUCAAAAUACAUGAUGUCAACUUUAAGUUGGGGCAACUAAAGAGAAACAAAACCUCUAUAUCUACCACUAGAUCAACCAAUCUAUUGGACCAGACCAUAAGAUCCAGUAUUACUGAACAAUGAACCAAGCUACUCCAGGGAUAACAGCGCCACAUUCUUGAAGAGUCCUUAUCAACAAGAAUACCUACGACCUCGAUGUUGGAUCAGGAUACCCAAGUGGUGCAGAAGCUACUAAUGGUUCGUUUGUUCAACGAUUAAUAUCCUACGUGAUCUGAGUYYMAAWUYCGAAUMA